rnacentral:lncRNA from 1 species
CAAUUUAAAGGUCUUUGUCCUAAGAGGGUUUAAAAUGACCAAUCAUAGUUAGACACCUGAGAUUCUGUAGGGCCCCGAGUACAUGACUUUUUACAUGUUGGUCUUGCCUAGGCCAGAUCUUGGCAGAGGGGGUGGGGGAGCGUUUUGCAUCCUAAUUUAUCUAUUUAGUAAGCAGGUGAGGUCACAGAAGCGAGAUAGGGCCAUUAGUAAUUUCUGAUAAACCUACAUAAGCCUUUUAUCUCAACUACUCAUGAAAGCAAACCUCCAUAUUGCAGAAACAGAGCCUGGCCUAAUAAGAUUGUGUCAUGUGAGAAAAAGGACUGUGUUCCUGCUGCAGGGGCGACAGAUCUAUACAGAAAGAGAGAAAGAGAGAAGAGGAGAGACACCCAAGCUGUGUGGCAUCUGGGGCUUUGAUAGGCAACUCCUAGUGAUACAACAUAAAAGAAGAGCAGUCCUAAUUAGAGCAGGGCAAAUGCUAUGGCAGGUGAGUAGAGCAACAGGCUUCAGUGCUUCUCCAAUCAUGCCAGGUGAGUGGCUGCCUAUCUGCCUUUGCUAGCUGGUCCUAUGGAGAACUGCGGUUGGCCAUUCCUUUAUCAUGGAGGUGUGUGAGUACGAAAAGUGAACUGCCCCCUCUUUAUCAAGCACUGGGGCAGUCAGCAUCCCUUCCCAACCUCUCCGCCCUCUACUGGGA